rnacentral:ncRNA from 2 species
AUGCGCCACUUAAUUUCAGGUGGCUGCAUGAACAGGAGAUUUUAACAGCCUUAAAUUGGGAAGAUUGGUGCGUUAGGAACAAGGCCAACACUGCCCCUGCAACGGUAAACCGAGAGGUGAGUCCGAUACCAGCCUGAUUUAAUCUCUCUUC